rnacentral:tRNA from 1 species
GGGCGUUGAAAAACCCCGCAAGCA